UAGGAAGUAGUGUAGAGGAGGCACGAAGAGUUUUGAUCUCUUAAGUGGGGUUCGAAUCCCUUCUUUCUAA